GCCCCUGUGGCGCAAUGAACUAGUGUGUUGGACUUCUAAUUCAAAGGGUGUGGGUUCGAGUCCCACCAGAGGUG
rnacentral:tRNA from 1 species